rnacentral:rRNA from 1 species
GACGAACGCUGGCGGCGUGCUUAACACAUGCAAGUCGAACGGAAAGGCCCUGCUUUUGUGGGGUGCUCGAGUGGCGAACGGGUGAGUAACACGCGAGUAACCUGCCCUUGACUUUGGGAUAACUUCAGGAAACUGGGGCUAAUACCGGAUAGGAGCUCCUGCUGCAUGGUGGGGGUUGGAAAGUUUCGGCGGUUGGGGAUGGACUCGCGGCUUAUCAGCUUGUUGGUGGGGUAGUGGCUUACCAAGGCUUUGACGGGUAGCCGGCCUGAGAGGGUGACCGGCCAGAUUGGGACUGAGAUGCGGCCCAGACUGCUACGGGAGGCAGCAGUGGGGAAUAUUGCACGAUGGGCGGAAGCCUGAUGCAGCAACGCCGCGUGCGGGAUGACGGCCUUCGGGUUGUAAACCGCUUUCGCCUGUGACGAAGCGUGAGUGACGGUAAUGGGUAAAGAAGCACCGGCUAACUACGUG